rnacentral:rRNA from 1 species
AUUGAACGCUGGCGGCAGGCCUAACACAUGCAAGUCGAGCGAGCGGCGGACGGGUGAGUAAUGUAUGGGAAACUGCCCGAUGGAGGGGGAUAACUACUGGAAACGGUAGCUAAUACCGCAUACCAUCAGAUGUGCCCAGAUGGGAUUAGCUAGUAGGUGGGGUAACGGCUCACCUAGGCGACGAUCCCUAGCUGGUCUGAGAGGAUGACCAGCCACACUGGGACUGAGACACGGCCCAGACUCCUACGGGAGGCAGCAGUGGGGAAUAUUGCACAAUGGGCGCAAGCCUGAUGCAGCCAUGCCGCGUGUAUGAAGAAGGCCUUCGGGUUGUAAAGUACUUUCAGUCGGGAGGCGUUACCGACAGAAGAAGCACCGGCUAACUCCGUGCCAGCAGCCGCGGUAAUAC